UACGAAGGGGGCUAGCGUUGUUCGGAAUUACUGGGCGUAAAGGGCGCGUAGGCGGCGUGUCAAGUCAGGCGUGAAAGCCCCGGGCUCAACCUGGGAACCGCGCUUGAGACUGGCAUGCUCGAGUUCGGGAGAGGAUGGUGGAAUUCCCAGUGUAGAGGUGAGAUUCGUAGAUAUUGGGAAGAACACCGAUGGCGAAGGCAGCCAUCUGGACCGACACUGACGCUGAGGCGCGAAAGCGUGGGGAGCAAACAGG
rnacentral:rRNA from 1 species